AUCAAGUACUCCAUUCCUCAGCCACCAGGCAGACAGAGCGUGGAAGUCUACUACCCCUAUGACUUCUCCCAGCAAAGGAUAAUAACAAACCUUCCUCCCAUGACAAAUAACCCUUCAGUGCCAGAUAUCCUCCCAUUUGAUUACCCUCCGCAAGCUCUUCCCCAGCAGCCCCUGAAUAAUCCAACUUUUGACAUCAACACACUCCCAUCCCAGGAUCCUCUGGCACCGCUCCAGGACCAGCCCAUCCAGACAAGC